UUGGGGAAGAUGGUUGCCAACAAAUGCUUAGAUUGAAUAGUGCCCUAGCCUAACUAUAGAGCUGCCUCUCGAUUAGUUAGGUGACCUCUUAAGGCAUCAUGCUGUAGUCUUGCCUCUCUUGUAUCCUUGCUGUCACAGUGAGUAUCAACCAGGGUAUUUUUUUUUGUUUUAGUUUUGCCGAAGACCUUAUCAACUCUAUAGCCACCUCUAGUGAUAAUAUAAUGUGUUUUUUUGUUGUUGCUUGUAUUAGCCUGUGGUAAUGUUUGGCAUUAACAAUUUACAGUAGCCUGUCCCACUCAAAG